AUGGUUGUCGUCAGCUCGUGUCGUGAGAUGUUGGGUUAAGUCCGCAACGAGCGCAACCCCUAUUGUUAGUUGCCAUCAUUCAGUUGGGCACUCUAGCGAGACUGCCGGUAAUAAACCGGAGGAAGGUGGGGAGUGACGUCAAAUCAUCAUGCCCCUUAUGUUCUGGGCUACACACGUGCUACAAUGGCCGGUACAGACGGACGCAAAGCCGCGAGGCGGAGCAAAUCCGAAAAAGCCGGUCUCAGUUCGGAUUGCAGGCUGCAAUUCGCCUGCAUGAAGUCGGAAUCGCUAGUAAUCGCAGGUCAGCAUACUGCGGUGAAUACGUUCCCGGGCCUU
rnacentral:rRNA from 1 species